GAUGAACGCUGGCGGCGUGCCUAAUACAUGCAAGUCGAGCGAACAGACGAGGAGCUUGCUCCUCUGACGUUAGCGGCGGACGGGUGAGUAACACGUGGAUAACCUACCUAUAAGACUGGGAUAACUUCGGGAAACCGGAGCUAAUACCGGAUAAUAUAUUGAACCGCAUGGUUCAAUAGUGAAAGACGGUUUUGCUGUCACUUAUAGAUGGAUCCGCGCCGCAUUAGCUAGUUGGUAAGGUAACGGCUUACCAAGGCAACGAUGCGUAGCCGACCUGAGAGGGUGAUCGGCCACACUGGAGCGGAGACGCGGUCAAGAGGCCUACGGGAGGCAGCAGUAGGGAAUCGUCCGCAAUGGGCGAAAGCCUGACGGAGCAACGCCGCGUGAGUGAUGAAGGUCUUCGGAUCGGAAAACUCUGUUAUUAGGGAAGAACAAAUGUGUAAGUAACUAUGCACGUCUUGACGGUACCUAAUCAGAAAGCCACGGCUAACUACGUG
rnacentral:rRNA from 1 species